rnacentral:snRNA from 1 species
GGAUGUGAGGGCGAUCUGGCUGCGACAUCUGUCACCCCAUUGAUCGCCAGGGUUGAUUCGGCUGAUCUGGCUGGCUAGGCAGGUGUCCCCUUCCUCCCUCACCGCUCCACGUGCGUCCCUCCCAAAGCUGCACGCUUGGUCGAAGAGGACGACCUUCCCGGAAUAGAGGAGGACCGGUCUUCGGUCAAAAGCGAGUAGCUGCGCUUCCCUGCUAAAAUACCUUGUUGUGACUUUAACCAAGCAAGUAAAAGAUCUGUACGAUAAGAACUUCAAGACACU